CACACCUGCAAAGCGUUUGCCGCCUAAGGUAACAAUUACAGGUUCCAAGGAUUAAAACCUGGUAUGUUCGGAGGCCAUUAUUCUGCCUACACAGAGGGGUUGGCUUAGGACACCCGUCCUUGGUGCCGGGUAAAGCUGCCCAGGGAGCCUGGAGGAAGCCUCCUCUGUCUCUUUCAACCCCCACAGGUGCCCCAAGGGAGCCGCCACUGAGGUCCUCGGGCUCUGAUCGAAGUAUGACGUGACAGCAAGUCCACUCCUCUCCCCGCUGACUCUGGCACAGGUUUUCCGCGUGGCCAGGGAUGGGUGUGAGCAGCCCAGAGUAGGGGCCGGCCCAGGCUCGGCCAAGGUCCACACGUCUGCCUGGCCGUCAUGCCCAGCUCCAUGUGAGAUGGGACCACCAGCGCUGGCCACCUGGGGGGCUUCCCUGAGGGCCAGCUCGCAGCUCUUCGCCAAUAUCUCAUCCCAAUCUGCAGAUGCUAGACCGGAUCUCUAACCUGCAACGAUGUCAGAGAAGUACUGCUACCUGGAGGUGCUGGCUCAUGGCAGCCUGCCCUAUGGAGAUUGUCUUUUCAGAUACAGCAAACAGCCUUGGAGAAGGAAAGAGGUGGUGUCUCCCUACAGCGCAGAGAGCAGGCCACUAUCCACCUGCCUAACCACCCUGGGAGCAAGUACCAGACAACUAGGGACACAAACAAGGCUUUUGCCCACAUGUCCGCUGUCUCCUAAGCCUGCUGACAACGCCUGUGGCCCCUCCUCCUGGGAGCUGUGUGGCUGGACACGUGGCUACUCAGCUAGAGACUCCAUUUCCCAACCUGCUGCGCAAUUCAAUGUGGUCACGUGGCUAAGUGCACCCCCUGCCGGCAUGUGAGUGGAGGUGAUAGACACCACUCCUAAGUCUGGGCCUUAAGACACUGACCUCCUCCCUGUUCUUCACCUUCCAAUGAACUGCACCCAUGCAGAUGAGAGUGAAAGUCCAUAUGAUGGCAAAGCAACAAGAUGGACAGAACCUGGAUGCCUGAAUAAUCAUGUGGAGCAGAGCAGCUCCAUCACCAAGGAUCCUUCAUCUGAGGACUGGUAUUUGAGAGAAAAUAAACUUCUAUAUGCUUUAAACCACGGUGUAAUUGGUUACUUUGUUACUGCAGCUUGGCUUUACUGUAACCAACAGAGAGCCUCUGAGUCCAUUACCUUCUGUAGUUUACAGACAAGGAAACAGAGUGAUUGGACAAUCCUCCCCAAAUCCCAUACUUAGUUGCAGAAUCAGGUCUGGAAUCCAG
rnacentral:lncRNA from 10 species